rnacentral:ribozyme from 1 species
UGUCCUCAACUACCUAUCUGUUAAAUGAAAGAAAUUAAUAGAAAAGAACAAAUAAAGAGAAAAUACCAGCAAUCCUUCUUCCUCUCACUUUUCCAUCACUUUUUAUCCUCUUUUAUUCCUGGGAGACACUUCUUCUCUUAAACACAAGAACCUAAUCUUGAUAUCCAUUUAAUAAAUAAGAAGAUAAUGUGAUUGAAAUUAAGAACGGGAUUUAGUUAUUGCUCAUAUCUUUCAUAUCUUUAUCUUAUGUAACUAAUUAACAGGAGGUCUGGAUAGGGACAUAAAACCUGUACGAGUUGACGCUUUCUCU